AACGAACGCUGGCGGCGUGCCUAACACAUGCAAGUCGAACGGAAUUUGAGAGCUUGCUCUUAAAUUUAGUGGCGCACGGGUGAGUAACGCGUAGAUAAUCUGCCUGACGAUCUGGGAUAACACUUCGAAAGAGGUGCUAAUACCGGAUAAGCCCACGGAGUCUUUGGAUUCUGCGGGAAAAGGGGGGGACCUUCGGGCCUUCUGUCGUCAGAUGAGUCUGCGUACCAUUAGCUAGUUGGUAGGGUAAUGGCCUACCAAGGCGACGAUGGUUAGCUGGUCUGAGGGGAUGAGCAGCCACACUGGAACUGAGACACGGUCCAGACUCCUACGGGAGGCAGCAGUGGGGAAUUUUGCGCAAUGGGCGAAAGCCUGACGCAGCAACGCCGCGUGAGUGAUGAAGGCUUUCGGGUCGUAAAGCUCUGUCGAGGGGAAAGAAGUGUACUUUGGCUAAUGUCCAUUGUACUUGACGGUACCCCUAAAGGAAGCACCGGCUAACUCCGUGCCAGCAGCCGCGGUAA
rnacentral:rRNA from 1 species